GCUCCGGUGGACUAGUGGUUAGAGCGUCCGCCUCGAAUGUGGGAGGUCCUGAGUACGAACCCAGGCUGCGUCA